rnacentral:rRNA from 1 species
AUUGAACGCUGGCGGCAUGCCUUACACAUGCAAGUCGAACGGCAGCACGGGUGCUUGCCCCUGGUGGCGAGUGGCGAACGGGGGAGUAAUACAUCGGAACAUGUCCUGUAGUGGGGGAUAGCGCGGCGAAAGCCGGAUUAAUACCGCAUACGAUCUACGGAUGAAAGCGGGGGACGGUCGGGUCCCGCGCUUUAGGGUUGGCCGAUGGCUGUUUAGCUAGUUGGUGGGGUAAAGGCCUACCAAGGCGACGAUCAGUAGCUGGUCUGAGAGGACGAGCAGCCACACUGGAACUGAGACACGGCCCAGACUCCUACGGGAGGCAGCAGUGGGGAAUUUUGGACAAUGGGCGAAAGCCUGAUCCAGCAAUGCCGCGUGUGUGAAGAAGGCCUUCGGGUUGUAAAGCACUUUUGUCCGGAAAGAAAUCCUUGGCUCUAAUACCGUCGGGGGAUGACGGUACCGGAAGAAUAAGCACCGGCUAACUACGUG